GUUUGAUCCUGGCUCAGGAUGAACGCUAGCGGCAGGCUUAACACAUGCAAGUCGAGGGGUAUAGUUCUUCGGAACUAGAGACCGGCGCACGGGUGCGUAACGCGUAUGCAAUCUACCUUUUACAGAGGGAUAGCCCAGAGAAAUUUGGAUUAAUGCCUCAUGGUAUAAUUGAAUGGCAUCAUUUGAUUAUUAAAGUUCCAACGGUAAAAGAUGAGCAUGCGUCCCAUUAGUUAGUUGGUAAGGUAACGGCUUACCAAGACGAUGAUGGGUAGGGGUCCUGAGAGGGAGAUCCCCCACACUGGUACUGAGACACGGACCAGACUCCUACGGGAGGCAGCAGUGAGGAAUAUUGGACAAUGGGCGCAAGCCUGAUCCAGCCAUGCCGCGUGCAGGAAGAAGCAUCUAUGGUGUGUAAACUGCUUUUGUACGGGAAGAAACAGCAGUUCGUGAACUGCCUUGACGGUACCGUAAGAAUAAGGAUCGGCUAACUCCGUGCCAGCAGCCGCGGCAAUACGGAGGAUCCAAGCGUUAUCCGGAAUCAUUGGGUUUAAAGGGUCCGUAGGCGGUUUAAUAAGUCAGUGGUGAAAUCUGGUCGCUCAACGAUCAAACGGCCAUUGAUACUGUUAGACUUGAAUUACAAGGAAGUAACUAGAAUAUGUAGUGUAGCGGUGAAAUGCUUAGAUAUUACAUGGAAUACCAAUUGCGAAGGCAGGUUACUACUUGUGGAUUGACGCUGAUGGACGAAAGCGUGGGGAGCGAACAGGAUUAGAUACCCUGGUAGUCCACGCCGUAAACGAUGGAUACUAGCUGUUGGGCGCAAGUUCAGUGGCUAAGCGAAAGUGAUAAGUAUCCCACCUGGGGAGUACGUUCGCAAGAAUGAAACUCAAAGGAAUUGACG
rnacentral:rRNA from 1 species